rnacentral:tRNA from 1 species
GCCCCCGUAGCUCAACGGAUAGAGCGAAAGACUUCUAAUCUUUAGGUUGCGCGUUCGAAUCGCGCCGGGGGUGCCA